AAAACAGGGUCCAGAGAGGGAUGGCAGACAUGAGAUCCAUUAAAACUGAGGGAAAAUAGAAACGAAAAAAGUACAUAUAAAUAAGAAGAUGUGGUAUGAGUGCCAAUGAGACAACCCUCCAUCCAAGUCACAAUGUAUAAAAAGUUAACAAUUAUAGGUCAGAGUACGGUCUUCAACAAGUAGCCUUGGCUCCAACGAACAGCAAACAAAAGGGCCCCAAAAUGACUAGUGUAAAACAAUUCAAACAGGAAAACCUACGGUUUAAUCUAUAUAAAUAAACGAGAAACGAAAAAUACCUAUGAACCACACCAACGCACGACAACCACUGAACAACAGCUCCUGAUUAUCUAUAACAUCUCAGAAAACUUCACUCAAUAUAUUAUAAAACAAAUGUUUUAAAGAUGAUUGGUAUGUAAUCUUAAAAUUUACCCAAACUAUGUUUUAAUAAAAGAACGUGUUUCUCGGACAAUGUACCUCAUGCAUGUUAAAGAGCGAGUAUUGGAAAGUUUCAACUGCGAGAUUAAACACACUUGGAUAGUUGUCUCAUCGGCAAUCGUACCUCAUCUCUUACUAUACAUUUUGGAUAAAUGAAAUUUUAAGACUGCAAUUUUUUGUUUUUUUGUUUGUGUGUUGUGUGUUGUGUGUGUGUGUGUGUGUGUGUGUGUGUGUGUGUAGGGGGAGGGGAGAUAUCAUGCUUAUACAAAGCAUGAAUUGCAAAUAAGUGUGAUUUUGUUAUACCCCUUACUAUUCUGAAUCUGAGAAACAUUUAACAAAAUUGCAACAUAAUAGAACUCCGGAUUUCCAUUUUAAAUUGAAUGUGAAAAUAUGUCAGCUGUGCAAACGUUCUAAAUUUUGAAACACGUACUGCGAUGUACAUUUACCAAGGACAAGUAUAUG
rnacentral:lncRNA from 1 species